rnacentral:sRNA from 1 species
GCUGGGUGUGGUGGCACACACCUGUAAUCCCAGCUAUUUGGGAGGCUGAGGCAAGAGAAUUGAAAGUUCCAGAAAGUUCCAGGCCAGUCUCAGCUAUUUAGCAAGACCCUGUUUCAA